rnacentral:rRNA from 1 species
AUAUUGGGCAAUGGACGGAAGUCUGACCCAGCCAUGCCGCGUGCAGGAUGAAGGCCUUCUGGGUUGUAAACUGCUUUUAUCUGGGAAGAAAACACCUAUGCGUAGGAAACUGACGGUACCAGAUGAAUAAGCACCGGCUAACUCUGUGCCAGCAGCCGCGGUAAUACAGAGGGUGCGAGCGUUGUUCGGAAUCACUGGGCGUAAAGCGCGCGCAGGCGGGACUUGCAAGUCGGGAGUGAAAGGCCGGGGCUCAACCCCGGAGCUGCUUUCGAGACUGCGGACCUGGAGACCAGUAGGGGUUGGUGGAAUUCCCGGUGUAGCGGUGGAAUGCGUAGAUAUCGGGAAGAACCCCCGUGGCGAAGGCGGCCAACUGGGCUGGAUCUGACGCUGAGGCGCGAAAGCGUGGGGAGCAA